rnacentral:lncRNA from 1 species
ACACACUUGACCAUUAUGAUCUAAGAGGAAAAAUACGAGUUUCAUAGUUGAUGUAAUUGACAAGAGUUGUCUACCUAUUUAUUUAUAUAUAGUUUGUUGUGCACACACAAGGCUAUAUACAUUUAAAAUGAGACCCUUAUUCUCACUAGCAUAUCUUUAAUUAGAUAUUGCCGAACUAUAUAAGUGAGGGUAAUAUAGUUUUAAAAAAAUAGUGGGAGAUACCAAUUUAAAACAAGA